GACGAACGCUGGCGGCGUGCUUAACACAUGCAAGUCGAACGGAAAGGCCCUGCUUUUGUGGGGUGCUCGAGUGGCGAACGGGUGAGUAACACGUGAGUAACCUGCCCCUGACUUUGGGAUAACUUCAGGAAACUGGGGCUAAUACCGGAUAGGAGCUCCUGCUGCAUGGUGGGGGUUGGAAAGUUUCGGCGGUUGGGGAUGGACUCGCGGCUUAUCAGCUUGUUGGUGGGGUAGUGGCUUACCAAGGCUUUGACGGGUAGCCGGCCUGAGAGGGUGACCGGCCACAUUGGGACUGGGGAGCGGGCCGUACUCCUACGGGAGGAAGGAGUGGGGGAUAGUGCGAGAUGGGCGGAAGGCUGGAGCAGGAAUGCCGCGUGCGGGAUGACGGCCUUCGGGUUGUAACCCGCUUUCGCCUGUGACGAAGAGUGAGUGACGGUAAUUGGUAAAGAAGCAACGGCUAACUACGUG
rnacentral:rRNA from 1 species